UACGUAGGGACCGAGCGUUGUCCGGAUUCAUUGGGCGUAAAGAGCUCGUAGGCGGCCACUCAAGUCGAAUGUGAAACCUCGAGGCUUAACCUCGAGCCUGCAUUCGAUACUGGGCGGCUAGAGUCUGGUAGGGGGAUCUGGAAUUCCUGGUGUAGCGGUGGAAUGCGCAGAUAUCAGGAGGAACACCGGUGGCGAAGGCGGCUACCUGGACCGGUACUGACGCUGAUGCGCGAAAGCUAGGGUAGCAAACAGG
rnacentral:rRNA from 1 species